rnacentral:rRNA from 1 species
UAGGGAAUCUUCGGCAAUGGGGGGAACCCUGACCGAGCAACGCCGCGUGAGUGAAGAAGGUUUUCGGAUCGUAAAGCUCUGUUGUUAAGGAAGAACGAGUGUGAGAAUGGAAAGUUCAUACUGUGACGGUACUUAACCAGAAAGGGACGGCUAACUACGUGCCAGCAGCCGCGGUAAUACGUAGGUCCCGAGCGUUGUCCGGAUUUAUUGGGCGUAAAGCGAGCGCAGGCGGUUAGAUAAGUCUGAAGUUAAAGGCAGUGGCUCAACCAUUGUAGGCUUUAGAAACUGUUUAACUUGAGUGCAGAAGGGGAGAGUGGAAUUCCAUGUGUAGCGGUGAAAUGCGUAGAUAUAUGGAGGAACACCGGUGGCGAAAGCGGCUCUCUGGUCUGUAACUGACGCUGAGGCUCGAAAGCGUGGGUAGCAAACAGG